GACGAACGCUGGCGGCGUGCCUAAUACAUGCAAGUAGAACGAGUUGCGAACGGGUGAGUAACGCGUUGUAACCUGCCUCAUAGCGGGGGAUAACUAUUGGAAACGAUAGCUACUACCGCAUACUGUGAGAUUGACCUGCGUGGUAUUAGCUAGUUGGUGAGGUAAAGGCUAACCAAGGCGACUAUACAUAGCGGACCUGAGAGGGUGAUCGGCCACACUGGGACUGAGACACGGCCCAGACUCCUACGGGAGGCAGCAGUGGGGAAUAUUGCACAAGGGGCGCAAGCCUGAUGCAGCCAUGCCGCGUGUAUGAAGAAGGCCUUCGGGUUGUAAAGUACUUUCAGCGGGGAGGCGUUACCCGCAGAAGAAGCACCGGCUAACUCCGUGCCAGCAGCCGCGGUAAUUC
rnacentral:rRNA from 1 species